AAUAGAUACCCUGGUAGUCCACGCCCUAAACGAUGCUCACUAGGUGUUGGGGGAAGCGAUUCCUUGGUACCGUAGCUAACGCGUGAAGUGAGCCGCCUGGGGAGUACGGCCGCAAGGUUAAAACUCAAAGGAAUUGACGGGGACCCGCACAAGCGGUGGAUGAUGUGGAUUAAUUCGAUGCAACGCGAACAACCUUACCUACCCUUGACAUGUCCGGAAGCCUGCUGAAAGGCGGGGGUGCUCGAAAGAGAACCGGAACACAGGUGCUGCAUGGCUGUCGUCAGCUCGUGUCGUGAGAUGUUGGGUUAAGUCCCGCAACGAGCGCAACCCUUGUCCCUAGUUGCUACGCAAGGGCACUCUAGGGAGACUGCCGGUGACAAACCGGAGGAAGGUGGGGAUGACGUCAAGUCCUCAUGGCCCUUAUGGGUAGGGCUUCACACGUCAUACAAUGGACGGUACAGAGGGUUGCCAACCCGGCGAGGGGGAGCCAAUCCCAGAAAGCCGUUCGUAGUCCGGAUCGCAGUCUGCAACUCGACUGCGUGAAGUCGG
rnacentral:rRNA from 1 species